rnacentral:rRNA from 1 species
UACGUAGGGGGGCAAGCGUUGUCCGGAUUUAUUGGGCGUAAAGAGCGUGUAGGCGGCCUGAAAGGUCAGCUGUGAAAACUCGAGGCUCAACCUCGAGACGUCGGUUGAAACCAUCUGGCUAGAGUCCGGAAGAGGAGAGUGGAAUUCCCGGUGUAGCGGUGAAAUGCGCAGAUAUCGGGAAGAACACCCGUGGCGAAGGCGGCUCUCUGGGACGGUACUGACGCUGAGACGCGAAAGCGUGGGGAGCGAACAGG